GUGUCAGCAGCCGCGGUAAUACGGAGGGUGCAAGCGUUAUCCGGAUUCACUGGGUUUAAAGGGUGCGUAGGUGGGCAGGUAAGUCAGUGGUGAAAUCUCCGGGCUUAACCCGGAAACUGCCGUUGAUACUAUCUGUCUUGAAUAUCGCGUAGGUAAGCGGAAUAUGUCAUGUAGCGGUGAAAUGCUUAGAUAUGACAUAGAACACCAAUUGCGAAGGCAGCUUACUUCACGAUCAUUGACACUGAGGCACGAAAGCGUGGGGAGCAAACAGGAUUAGAAACCCUUGUAGUCC
rnacentral:rRNA from 1 species